AGGGAUGGGCACCAAAAUAAAAGAGUUUCGAUAUGAAAAUGAAGCUAUUUAAAAGAAAGAACAAAUACAAAUAUGCCCUGGACACGUUGUUUUAGAUACUGCUCCUCAUCACCAUUUUUCCCUCUAUGAUAAACAUCGUAUGUUAGUUAGAACAUACGAUUUAUAAAUUAUAAAAUAAUGGAAGUACCUGGCCACAACCCCAGCUUGUCCUGAUGUAAUCCAUCACGAAAUAAUACGAUUUGCUAGAUAAGGAAUUUGGCUGCUCAUCAUGACCAUGAAGCCAGAGCAUGCAUUUCAGGUGAUUUCUGAGGGCUUGGGAAAAGCAUGGGCUCCUACUCCAACUUCUUCUGAUGCCUUUAAAUCGGUCCCAUGGUGUCAGGCAUAGGGAUGCAGGGAUGCGCACCUCUAAUCCAAGCACUCGGCAAGCAAAUCUAGUGGGUUUAUGUAAGUAUAAGGCCAAUCUGGGCCACAUAGUAAAUUUUGGGUCAGCAAAGUUAUGUAGUAAGACCUUGUCUCAACAGACAGACAGACAGACAGACAGACAGACAGACAGACAAAGAAACAAGUAAGUAAACGAAGAGAAAUGAAAGAGAAUUGUGUAAGAGUUGUGAGGAAGUUUUGGCCUGUUGGUUUAUACCUAUAAUCCUGGUACUCAGGAGGCUGAAGGGAACCUGCACGUUCAAGUCCACCAAGGUCUAGGUCAGCAAAAGCCCUUGCACCCAAGCCACCAAGUCACCAUCCAAGCUAAAGCUGUGGCAAGGAAAAAAAAAUCUGUAUCCAAGACUCACACUCACAGCAGGUAGUAAACUGGGAAAACUCUCUGAAACAGUUUCUUGGUAGGUUUUUAUGUUCUCUUCCAAAUGGGCUCAACAGACAAAAGAGCAUGAAGAUCGUAAAUGACAAAUGACAGUUCCCCGUCCCUGGAUAAUGAAGACAAACCAAAACACCCGCAAGAAACAGCAGGCUGGGAAUUCGGAGACGGCCUGAGUGAGGGCAUGGCUGUGACAGAGUCCCAUGCCGCAGUCACCUUCUUUCUGCACGGCUUCACACGCUGGCUGAGUAACCCCAGGUUACUGACUAUGGAACUUCCAUCGGGUGCAAAGGUAAAAUUUUCCUGGCUGUGGUAUGCUAGGAAAAAGAAUUGCAGUACUCCCUGUUUUGUGGUCCAAGCAUGUUUCUGAGAAAAAAAAAUCAAAACCAAAUUACAGACCUCUCACCAGAAUAAACACAUUAAAUCUGCUGACACUGGAGAGUGUCACAACACUCUCAGAGCCACAGCCGUGGAGAGCUAGCUUCUCAGGCCUUAUGUCCAAACACACUUUGCUAGGACGCUUGGCUAAAUAAAAGGGAACAAACCUUCCAUUGUUCCUGGUGUUUAUUAAAAUGGCCCCCAGGAAUUCCCUGCAGACACCUGCUUAAAGAGAACCAAUGAAGGAGACACUCAUUUGAUGUGCCCAGUGCAGACCUGAACUGGAAACAAUAGAAAAGUUUUCAACUGACAUAGACCAGCAAGGUCUGAGUACUGCCCCCCAUCCCCAAUCAUUGUAAUCACCAAAAACAUCCCUUCUCUAAGCUUUCUUAGUGGUCGCUUCAAAACAUCUUCUUACAUAAUCACUCAUCCUACCUCACUCUCACCUUUUACUUCAGUAGUAAAAUACUGCCACUAAUAAAAAGGUAAGACUGAAUUCCGCUGCAGACAGACUUCUGCUCACAGCUGGGCCGGCUGUUGCUGGGGAUGCCAAGGUUGUCUAACUAAGCUGUUUUUUGUUUUUGUUUUUGUUUUCAAUUAUGGCUUAUAUUUCUCUGUUGACAAUUUCAAUUUGAAGUGCGCAAAAGUCUUUUAACAACAGCCAGUUGUUGAUAGAACAGGUUCACUCAGUCACGUGUUAAGAUUCCCUCUCUGGUUAGAGAAGCUCUCUGUGUACCCGUGUGCCUGCAUGCAUACGAUACCAAAGUAAAGAAAACAUAGGAAAACCUAAAACCAAGCAUGAUGGC
rnacentral:lncRNA from 1 species